GAUGAACGCUGGCGGCGUGCCUAAUACAUGCAAGUAGAACGCUGAAGGAAGGAGCUUGCUCUUUCCGGAUGAGUUGCGAACGGGUGAGUAACGCGUAGGUAACCUGCCUGGUAGCGGGGGAUAACUAUUGGAAACGAUAGCUAAUACCGCAUAACAGUAGAUAUUGCAUGAUAUCUGCUUGAAAGGGGCAAUUGCUCCACUACCAGAUGGACCUGCGUUGUAUUAGCUAGUUGGUGAGGUAACGGCUCACCAAGGCGACGAUACAUAGCCGACCUGAGAGGGUGAUCGGCCACACUGGGACUGAGACACGGCCCAGACUCCUACGGGAGGCAGCAGUAGGGAAUCUUCGGCAAUGGACGGAAGUCUGACCGAGCAACGCCGCGUGAGUGAAGAAGGUUUUCGGAUCGUAAAGCUCUGUUGUAAGAGAG
rnacentral:rRNA from 1 species